UAAGUUAGAAACAUGAGCUCGGUCUUUUGUCAUGUUCUUAUAUGAUUGUUGGCUUGAGAUCGUGAACUUGGUCCUCUGACUUGAAUUUAGUUUAUAAAAGGAAGAUGCAAUGCAUACAACCGGUCGGGGUUUCUAAAGGAAAGUAAUUCCAAAUAUACCUAUAUUGUUGUGUAUGUUAUUUAUGUUGAUAGAUAUCCAUGCUAGAUUGUAGGCUAAGGAUCUAUUUGGGAAUCCCAUGCUAGAAUUGACUAAUUUGUAAGAUGCCUUGUAUGAUUUUUGAUAUGUAUAUCUCAUCGACCUUUUGGAAAUGGUUCGGCCAGUUCUAGGUGGUUCGGCCAGUUCUAGAUAGUUCUACUAGUUCUAGGCAGUUCGGCCAAUUCUAGUCAGUUCGACCAUUUUCGGCUUGCUCCUUCCAAAGGCAAAAAGUACAUUAGUCACCUCAACCUUCUCAUGUCCAGCUUUAAGCUUUUUCCCCAAGAAAUAAGGUACAUCUGAUUAUACUAUAUAUACACCUCUCAAGACACUUCAAAUGAAAGUCUCUCUCUCUCUCUCUCUCUCUCUCACUCACUCACUCUCUCUCUCUCUAUACAUCGAAUCGGGUUCCUUCCAGUCAAAGGACCCGACCUCGUUUCGUAUCGAUACUAACUUGACCGUCGAAUGCCGCUCCCGGGAUGUAAGUCUUGGGACGAUUCUAACGAUCUCGUUGAUGAGUGUAACAGGAAUCAAAUCGGGGCUCGAUAGCGUCAACAAAGCACACAUACAAGAUCUCAACUCAAUCAGCCUUGUGACGAUUUCCGAGUUACAUCGAGUGGCGCUAUCCGUGAGACUACGAGCAAAACAGCCCUUGCCUCGUACAUUCUAAAAUCAUUCACACAACAAUCUCCCCAAAUCUUUACUAUUCACGUCAGGAUCUCAGCCUCCCAUUGAAAAGGUACUUGGUUUCUGACUUGGUCUGCGGCCUCAAGCAUUGCGGUUAACCCCAUAGCAUUCUCUCAUUCCCGAAUUACGCCAAACUCCAUAGAUGAUAGCAUCGAGCUCCAUGGUGUCGGUCACCAGGCAGCCUCGACAAUUUCCGCCAUUCGCGUCUCUUAAAAGAAUAGAGCCUUCGAUUUCCUGUCACCACGAAUUCACGUGUGGAGGCUGAAUCUAGCAACCUGAAAUGUCGACAAGUUUUGAAGGAGUCACUCCAUCUUCGGCUUCAAGAGUUCACGCUUUCACUCAAAUCGAUCUUCUAUACUCGAACCCAGUUAUCAUCGUCAAAAACUCCAAGCAGCCAACUAAUACACCAUCCCUAACCUUGUCUAUAUAUGUUGGACUUUGCUUGCCGAAUUAUCUUGUUAAAAAAAAGGGAGAUGCACCUAACAUAUGUUCGAGAAAAAAUGGGAAGAGAUGAGUAGUGCAUCUCAGAUGUCCGAUGAAAUACCUACAUCAAAAUCUUCUAUCCUAGAAUUCCAUCAAGGUGUGGUAUCUAUGCUUCAGUUAUCUACAUUAUCUACCGAUGGACAUACUUCAGUACUCUAUUUCAAGAAUCUAGUUCGGACAUCUACAGUUCGGUCAAGCAUGGUUCGGGCAUCUACGGUUCGGGUAUAUACGGUUCAGGCAUAGAUGGCUCAUCUCCGAUUCGAGUUCGGUCACACAAAGUGAAACACAAGCACGAAGAAGGCUUAACUUCAGACUUUUCGUUUUGAUUUCUGGUCGUUCAUUACAAUAUUGUGAAGUAAUGAAUCUCAUAUAUUUUAUUCGAUACAUACUCGAUUCUCCGCUAUCUAUUCCUUGAUCAGAUCGAUUGUAUUCAGUUCUAAUGUGCUUCACUACACAUUUGUUUUAUAAUCGUUCCUCAAUAAA